UUUACUUGAAAUUUACGAUAUCGACCAAAUAUAUUAGGUGCACCCAAAUUUUAUCAAGGCCACCCAAUAUAUACACAUUUCUUUUCUUUACUCACUAACAUUUUUACAAAAUGCUUAUGCAAACCAAUGUUAUAACAAAUUCCCAACUUCAUGAACAAAUAAAUUCGAGUAUCCUUUAACAAUUUCGUCACAUAGUAAUCGAAAUUACUAUGGACACCCAACCAAUCUUAUUCCAAUUAUUUCACCACCAUUUCAAAUCACCUGCUUUCGCACACUAACAAAACCUUAAAUUUCACAACCAGAAACAAUCACAAAUUAGUCUAUUCUCCAGCCAAACAAACAGAAACAUUUCAAUUAACAACCUCAAUAUCACCUCCCGUACUACACUCUGCAGCGAAAUCCACAAACCACCAAACUACACAACUCGAUCAAACCACACACUAUGGCUAUGUUUGGGGGGGCUUUUUAGCUCCCCUGCUUAUAAGCACAAGACCCAUAAGUGUUUGGUAAGCCAACUUCUCAUCAGCUUCCUCCAGAAGCUGCUGUGGCUUCUGCCCAAAAGCAGAAGCUGCCGAACCCCAGCUUUCAAAAGCCAGAAGCCCGAAAAUUACUGUAGCGGUGUUACUGUAGAUUAAUGAAAAUUUCAAAAUACCGGUAAUUACCCUUCCAAGCUGAAACAAUUUCAGCUGAACCAUUAACCCUACGCAUAUCUUCGGUGGUCACUGUUCCCCAUCUCUCUCCCUCGUCACACCCGCAGCAUCACAGCUUCCCUGCUCCCCCAUCUCUCUCCCUCAUCACACCCGCACCGCCGCAUCCUCGCUGCUCCCUCACCGCCGCAUCCUCGAAGCUCCCCGUCACCUUCGCAUCGUCGCUGCUCCCCAUCACAGACGUAUCAGCACGCAAGCAUCUUUCUCCCUCACAUCGUCGCUGCUCCCCGUCACCGCUCUCCAUCUCCGUCCGUCAUCAUAGACCGCAGCCCCGACGUCGAUAUACCCAUCUGUGUGUCCCUCGUCACAUAUCGAUCUCCGACGCAAGCUCCCCGUCACCGGUCCUCGUCACCGCUCCCACAGAUCGAUCUCUCUCCGCAUCGAUCUACCCAUCUCUCUGUCCCUCAUCACAGCUGGUGGGUGAAAGUGAGAAGAUGAGGAUGAAGAAGCUGGAGGAGCUGAGCAAGAACAUUGAUUCAAUGCAGUGAAUAUAGCCCUUUGAUGAUAGCUCUGACCUGUGUGUGAUGUAUUUAAGAUGACUACUUUGUUAAUGUUUACAUAUAUGGGUGAUUGGCUUUGCUGUAUUCUAAGUUUGGCUGUUUCGUUAGGCAUUUGAAAAACUUUAGCUUGAUUUAGGCAGGAAAUACCCUUCUAAAUUUAAACAGGUUUGUAACUAAACGCAUUCUGAACUUCGCAUUUUCUUCUCAUUGUAAGGUCUCUUUUAGUGUAAUGUGGGUUUUCUUCAUUUAUUUUUGAAA